GGAUAGAUGGCUGAGUGGUUUAAAGUAUCAGUCUUGAAAACUGAAGUAUAAACCGUGGCUAUACUCCACAAUCCG
rnacentral:tRNA from 1 species